rnacentral:rRNA from 1 species
AUUGAACGCUGGCGGCAGGCUUAACACAUGCAAGUCGAGCGGGGGAGGUUGCUUCGGUAACUGACCUAGCGGCGGACGGGUGAGUAAUGCUUAGGAAUCUGCCUAUUAGUGGGGGACAACAUUCCGAAAGGGAUGCUAAUACCGCAUACGCCCUACGGGGGAAAGCAGGGGACCUUCGGACCUUGCGCUAAUAGAUGAGCCUAAGGCGGAUUAGCUAGUUGGUGGGGUAAAGGCUUACCAGGGCGACGAUCUGUAGCGGGUCUGAGAGGAUGAUCCGCCACACUGGGACUGAGACACGGCCCAGACUCCUACGGGAGGCAGCAGUGGGGGAUAUUGGACAAUGGGCGGAAGCCUGAUCCAGCCAUGCCGCGUGUGUGAAGAAGGCCUUUUGGUUGUAAAGCACUUUAAGCGAGGAGGAGGCUCGUAAGGUUAAUACCCUUGAUGAGUGGACGUUACUCGCAGAAUAAGCACCGGCUAACUCUGUGCCAGCCGCCGCAGUAAAAC